rnacentral:rRNA from 1 species
UACAGAGGUCUCAAGCGUUGUUCGGAUUCAUUGGGCGUAAAGGGCGCGUAGGCGGCGCAACAAGUCACUUGUGAAAUCUCCGGGCUUAACUCGGAACGGUCAAGUGAUACUGUUGUGCUAGAGUGCGGAAGGGGCAACUGGAAUUCUCGGUGUAGCGGUGAAAUGCGUAGAUAUCGAGAGGAACACCUGCGGCGAAGGCGGGUUGCUGGGCCGACACUGACGCUGAUGCGCGAAAGCCAGGGGAGCGAACGGG